rnacentral:misc_RNA from 1 species
GCCGUACUACGUUCGUUCAAAACGAAGGAACGCUAACAGGCCCUAGUCGCGGCAUUCAACUGUAUAACUCGGUCAAGGUUCGUUCUUAAUACACAGGUAGUUGUGCACCGGUACGGUCCGAGUCGCUAAAUUAUCAAAAUGUCGCAGACGAAGGACAGAAAUGCUUCUUCGGAUCCAAAGUAUCAAGAGCUGCCAAUUCAAGACAAAAAUGGCAACUUCGACAACGUCAUCAUUGAGGACGUCCUUGACGACAAGGAGGACGCGCACACGCAGUGUUGUCUCGGCGCCCUGAGGUGUCGUUGCCUCCAGUUGUUCGCGCAUCCAAACGCCUUCGUCACCCUCUUUGGUCUUCUGGUAGUGGCGUACACUGGGGGCGGUGGGGUGUAUAUGGCUGGUGUCGUCUCGACCAUCGAGAAGAGGUUUCAGUUGAAGAGCUCGGAGUCUGGUCUCCUGAUGUCCAUGAACGACAUCUCUUCGUUGAGUGGGGUGUUGUUUGUUGCACACUUCGGAGGGAGAUCACAUCGGCCGAGAAUCAUCGGCAUAUCCUGCUUGUUGGUUGCCCUGGGAUCUUUCUUGCACGCGCUGCCUCAGUUCAUCUACGACAACCCAGCCCUUGACGAAAUUUUCGUCACCAGUGCCAACCAAUCAGAGUCGAGCCCGGGAGCAUCGUUGUACGGAAAAGAUUUCAUUUGCAGUGCUGAGGCGAAUGCAACCCCGUGCACAGCCGAAGAAAUCGAAGCGUCUGGUUCCCAACUCGCAAAGGCGUGGCCCAUCAUAUUGGGCCAGCUGCUCAUUGGAGUCGGGAGCUCCGCCAUCUUGCCGCUGUCUGUGACGUAUAUCGAUGACGCAGUGGAGAAGGCCAUUGUACCAAUCUAUUUGGCUUUGAUGUUUCUGCCCAUGGCGAUCGCUCCCCUGUUUGGAUACUCACUCAGCGGCUAUUGCCUGUCACUCUUCGUGGAUUUCUACAAGACCGACGUCUCGGAACUCGGUCUCACCCCCCGGGAUCCUCAAUGGCAAGGCGCCUGGUGGCUGGGCUUCAUCAUCAACGGCUGUUUGCUGUGUCUAAUCUCCGUCCCUUUCUACUUCUUCCCGCGGAAGAUGCACAAACCAAAGUCCUACUGUUGCGGCCUACGGAUGCCUGGUUGCUGUAAGACAAUGAUUGGACGAGGGAGUGGUGGGCGGGACGAAAGGGGCGUGGCUAUGACACAAAUAGCCACACAUCACAAGAAGUACAACGGCCAACCAAUAGUGGUCGCAAUCAAAGAAUUUGGGGUGUCACUGUGGCGUCUUCUCACCAAUCCCAUCUUCAUGACCUCUCUGAUUGGCUACUGCAUAUUGGUGAUUGCCUUUGCCGGAUUCGAACAGUUCUGUGCGAAGUACAUACAGUUCCAGUUUGGAUUAAGUCCAGUGAGGGCUGGGCUUUUAGUAGGUUUUGCUUUUAUGCCUGGUACCCUGAUCGGUAUAAUCCUUGGAGGUGUAGUGUCUUCGCGGGCGGCAGGGAGCCAGCGGGGUUAUGCCAAACUCACCGUUGGUGCCCAACUUCUGUGCGUGUUGGCGUAUGGCAGCAUGAUGGCCCUGGGAUGCCCCAACAUCGAUAUUGCCGGACUGACAACUCACGUGACCGGUGGUCACGUGACUGGAAACAAUUUGGAUGUCUUCUCAUCUUGCAACAUGGAUUGUUCUUGCGAGAAGGGUGUUUAUUCUCCAGUGUGUGGCUCUGAUAAUGUCACAUACGUAACGGCUUGCUUCGCGGGUUGUGAGACAGUGGAUAAAGAUGAGGAUGAUAGAGCGAUUUACCAAGGCUGCACUUGUAUCAACCAAACUGAUUAUGGUUCCCAGAAGGACCCAGCUCCCGGUUCUGCUUUCCAAGGCGCAUGCGCGUCGAACUGUGACCUAUUGCUUCCAUUCAUCAUCAGCCUUGGUGUCACCAUGGCAAUCUCAUCCAUGUCGUUUAACCCCACAUUCAUGAUGAAGUUCAGGUUUCAUACCAGCCCCUGUCAUUCUGGGUGCGAGCCUCGAGAGUCAGUGCUCCUACUGGCAGGAAUCGUGCGAUGCUACGGGGGAAUGUCUGGUGUACGACCGGCCUGGUCUUAGGUUCGUCUUCAUCGGCUUCGCGGCUGGCUUCAGGUUCCUGGCCAGCCUGAUCUUCUGCGUUGGCGCAUUGUUAAUUUACAGGACAAACAAGUACGAGCAAGCGAUCGACAACGAUGAAGUGGCUACUGGGGAUGGCGAAGAGGCUAGCCACGUGGUCAAGUCACAGUCCUCCAAGGAAACGGAUGUAUAAAUUCA